UGGGGAAUUGUUCGCAAUGGGCGCAAGCCUGACGACGCAACGCCGCGUGGAGGAUGAAGACCUUCGGGUCGUAAACUCCUUUCGACCGAGAUGAAUGUCCACCGACCUAACACGUUGGUGGGGUGACAGUAUCGAGGGAAGAAGCCCCGGCUAACUCCGUGCCAGCAGCCGCGGUAAUACGGGGGGGGCAAGCGUUGUUCGGAAUUACUGGGCGUAAAGGGUUCGUAGGUGGCUGACUAAGUCAGACGUGAAAUCCCUCAGCUUAACUGGGGAACUGCGUCUGAUACUGGUCAGCUUGAGUGCAGGAGAGGAGCGCGGAAUUCCAGGUGUAGCGGUGAAAUGCGUAGAUAUCUGGAGGAACACCGGUGGCGAAGGCGGCGUUCUGGACUGCAACUGACACUGAAAAACGAAAGCCAGGGGAGCAAACGG
rnacentral:rRNA from 1 species